GAAAAGAGCUGGUGUCUGUGUAAGUAAAGAGAAAGGGAUCUAUAUGAGAGAUAUUGUGAAGGUAGAAAUUGCAAGAUUUGGUGAUGGAUUGGAUACACUGAAUGAGUGAAUAUGAGGAAUUGAGAAUUAUUUUGGUGGAAGAACAUGACCUAAAGACUUGGACAACAUUGAAUUUUCUCCUUGGUCUUACUGGAUGGUUCUUCCUCCUUGGGGAUUCCCUCUGAAACUGGCUUCCACCCUAUAGCCUGGAUUGCCCCCAGUCACCUACAGGCACAUGACAUUUUACUUCUCUAACUUUGACUGGCAUUUGGAUGAUCAUGGAUUGUGGGACAUGGUGGAACCCUACACCUCUACCUCAACUUUUUCUAACUUGAAAUAUGGGCACCGUUCCAGACACCACAUAGACCACUGGACUAAUAAAUGGAAGAAAAGAUUGAAAAUGCUUGGAAAUGGGGCUAUUUUUCCUGUAAAAAAAACUCUAGGCAUCUGCCCAUUGUUCUCUCUUCUGAGUCUCUGACAUUGUGAAUUCUCAGAUUUUUCAAAAACUGACUUGUCUCAGAACCUCAGCAGCCACUAAGAGAACAAUUGGGACAGUUUGUCCGGGUCUGUAUUAAGUCUGAGUGUCCAGGAAUUGUGUUCACACUGGCAUUUGGAAGCUAGAUGACACACUGCGCAGGAAUAUACAAUCCUGGGGGCAAGGCAAAACUAGGACACUAUUGAAGAAUGUUAAAGGAGGCAAAGUUGGGCAAAAGCUGAAGAAAAUUGGGUCAGCUAAAAUACACGAGGUGACCAUUCUUCAGGAGUCCCAUGGCCCACAUAGAUCCAUAUAUCUGCAAGGGAGUGAGCAUAAGAUGAGCAGGAACCUCAAAGCAGCCCCAAGGCAGAAAUUUGGUGGUCUAAGGGAUCUCCCAAGAUUUACAAGUUUACUCCUAUGUUCUGUUCCCACUUACUCAUAAUCCAGAUAAGUGUUAGCACGUGUCCUAGUGACCUCUGCAACCCUAAUUCUAUUAAAAUGGAUACCUACAUGGUUUCUUCAUAUCCAGCCUCUCUUUUCCAUAGUCCAUCCUCCAAAACUGCCAAAAUGAUGAUCUUAAAAUCCAAACUAUCUCACAACUAAACUUAAGAAACUUCAAUGACACUGUAUUAUCUCUAGGAUAGCAUAGACAUUCAAAGCUCUUCACUGGCUAUCUCUAGUUUGUCUAGUUAUUUCUAGUUUAUUUAGUUUAUUUCCCUUCCUCUGGAGUAUUUUGCAACUUCUGGAGAUGGUUGUCUGAACAGAGGAUUAUUCCCUUAUAACUGUCAGUAUAGUCAGAACUAAUGAAAGAGAAAUAAACUCACAGUUAGUGCCAUCAGACAGUAGAAACCUACUCUUUAAAGGUGCUCUAAAUCACUAUUGAUCAGAGGAAUUCAAAUUAAGACAACUCUGAGAGACCACUACACACUUCUCAGAUUGGCUAAGAUGACAGGAAAAGAUAAUGACCAAUGUUGGAGGGGACAUGGGGAAACUGGGACAUUGAUACAUUGUUGGUGGAACUAUUAACGGAUCCAACCAUUCUGGAGAAUAAUUUGGAACUAUGCUCAAAAUGUUAGCAAACUGUGCAUACCCUUUGAUUCAGCAGUGUUUCUAGUGGGCUUAUAACCCAAAGAGAUCUUAAAGGAGGCAAAGGGGCCCACAUAUACAAAAGUGUUUAUGGCAGCUUUUUUUUGUAGUGGCCAGAAACUGGAAACUGAGUGGAUGCCCAUCAGUUGGAGAAUGGCUGAAUAGGUUAUGGUCUAUGUAUGUUAUGGAAUAUUAUUGUUCUGUAAGAAAAGACCAGCAGGACGAUUUCAGAAAGGCCUGGAGAGACCUGAACUGAUGCUGAGUGAAAUGAGCAGAACCAGGAGAUCAUUAUACACUUCAACAACAAGAUUAUAUGAUGAUCAGUUCUGAUGGAUGCGACUCUUUCCAACAAUGAGAUGAUUGAGACCAGUUUCAAUGAUCUUGUGAUGGAAAGAGCCAUCUACACCAGAGAAAGAACUGUGGGAACUGACUGUGGACCAUGACAUCGCAUUCUCAUUCUUUUUGAUGUAGUUCACUUGCAUUUUGUCUUCUUUCUCAUUUUUUUUCCUUUUUGAUUUGAUUUUUCUUGUGCAAAAGAUCAUUGUAUAAAUAUGUAAACAUAUAUUAGAUUUAGCAUAUAUUUUAAUAUGUUUAACAUAUAUUGGAUUACCUGCCAUGUAGGAGAGAAGAUGGGAGGAAGGAGGUUUUGCAAGGAUUAGUGUUGAAAAAUUAUUCAUGCAUAGGUUUUGAAAAUAAAAUGCUUUAAUAAAAA
rnacentral:lncRNA from 1 species